AUUGAACGCUGGCGGCAGGCCUAACACAUGCAAGUCGAACGAGUGGCGGACGGGUGAGUAAUGUCUGGGAAACUGCCCGAUGGAGGGGGAUAACUACUGGAAACGGUAGCUAAUACCGCAUACCAUCGGAUGUGCCCAGAUGGGAUUAGCUAGUAGGUGGGGUAACGGCUCACCUAGGCGACGAUCCCUAGCUGGUCUGAGAGGAUGACCCGCCACACCGGAACUUAGACACGGCCCCGAAUCCCAAGGGGGGCAGCAGUGGGGAAUAUUUCACCAUGGGCGCAAGCCUGAUGCAGCCAUGCCGCGUGUAUGAAGAAGGCCCUAGGGUUGUAAAGUACUUUCAGUCGGGAGGCGUUACCGACAGAAGAAGCACCGGCUAACUCCGUGCCAGCAGCCGCGGUAAUUC
rnacentral:rRNA from 1 species